AAGCCAUUAACCAAGGUAAUGCCCGGUGGGUACAUCCUGCGGGGGAUCAUUACCGAGUGAGGGGCCCGCGUGGUCCGACCUCUCCACCCUUUGCUGUGAUCGUGACCAACCGUCUGUCGCCUCGGGGGACCCCGACGCUCGCGUCGGCCCCCGGCGUGCCAACCAACCUCUGCGUCAACCGUCGUCUGAGUCCAUUGCAAAAUAAAGCAAAA
rnacentral:misc_RNA from 1 species